ACUGGAAACACACCCAAUCAAGGAGGAACAAGGGCAUUGAUCAGGGCCCGUAUCCACCAAGAGUCUCAGGAUAGUAGAGCUGGUCUAGCAGCAGUUUGGCCUUUUUAGAUCGUAAAGGAAUAAGCUUGUACGGACAGAUCCUAGAUCAGCACUCCUAAAUCAAAGACACUCUGUGGAUAACGAGCCCUGAUCUCAUCAUCUAGGGUGACAAAACUCCAGUAACUUUUUUCCCCAGAAUUCCCUGGGUUUUCCCAGAAAUCCCUGUUGGAUGAUUCCUCUGAAUCAGAGGAGUAAUACGCAGGUAGUCUGGAAUCCUCCAACUGGGAUGUGUGGAAAACCUGGGAGAUUUUUUUGGGGGAAAAGUUAUUUCUAAACCCUAAUCCCACCGGUUAGUAGCGCAGCUCGUUAUCUUAACCCUUAACAUCACUAUCAGAACCAACGGGUGCCGUUAGUUAAAACAAAAAAACAGGAGAAAACAGAACCAAAACAAGAAUCUAAAGAAUCAAGGAACCCCUAAAACGAAAACAAAACUACACAAGAAAUAUGAACACCUGAAUCUUCUCAGUUUGUAGCCAACCAAUAACAUCGUUCUGUGUUUCUCAUUUCACGUUUUUUUUGUUGUGUUUUCUUUAAAUAUAUACACACACAAUUUCAAAUCUCUUCACAAAGCCAACUAUGAUGGGCUUUUAGGGAGGGGAGGGGAGGGCAUUCCAUCUGUGCUUAAGAAAAAAAAGGUCAGUGUGUUUUGUUGUUCUAAUAAUAAUUAUAGUAACACUGGUUCUGUGUAUAUAUGGUGAAACCAGAGGGCUCACUAAUGGCCGAAACUUCCUACUAAAGCAGCACUACUCAAACUCCCCCAACACCAGAGGAGGUACAGCCCAUCCCAAACCCUCAGUCAAACUCCCCCAAACACAAACCCUCAGUCAAACUCCCCCAACACCAGAGGAGGUACAGCCCAUCACAAACCCUCAGUCAAACUCCCCCAAAACACAAACCCUCAGUCAAACUCCCCCAAACACCAGAGGAGGUGCAGCCCAUCACAAACCCUCAGGGAUGGAGGGAACAUAACAGGGCAGGAGAAGAGGAGAGGAAGGGCAACAUUAAAAUCAUAAGUAGGACCAAAGUUGCCAUUUACCAGUCCUGAGAAACGGCUUUGAUAUGGAGUGGCAACGUGCAAGAUGAAAGUACAGACCACUUCUUCUCUUUUUACAUUUAUUUUAAACAGAUGCUGUGUAUUUUUAUUUUAUUAUACAAGAAGAUAUUGCAGAAAAAAAAGACAAAAACUGAUUUUUUUUUAAAUUUUUUUAAAGAUGGAAACACUUUGACUAGUUGACUAAAGGAGAAGGGGGAGGGGGGGGGGGGAGGAUAUGAAGAGGAUCACAUCAGGAAUUACUAGUCUCAAGCUUCAACCCUUCUGCAACUGGUUCUCUUCUUUAAAAGACCAAAUCAUCCUUCUUGGUUUCUGCCCCCCCCCCCCC